rnacentral:rRNA from 1 species
CACGUAGGGCGCAAGCGUUGUCCGGAUUUAUUGGGCGUAAAGAGCGUGUAGGCGGCUUUACAGGUCCGUUGUGAAAACUCGAGGCUCAACCUCGAGAUGUCGGCGGAAACUGUCUGGCUAGAGUCCGGAAGAGGAGAGUGGAAUUCCUGGUGUAGCGGUGAAAUGCGCAGAUAUCAGGAAGAACACCUAUGGCGAAGGCAGCUCUCUGGGACGGUACUGACGCUGAGACGCGAAAGCGUGGGGAGCGAACAGG